CUCCAACCACUAUGCCGGGUGCGCCCACCUCAUCCUAAAGCGAUGGGGAAAGAACCUGCAGUUAGAGACCUGCUGAAAAAGCCCAGAGCUCUCCUCUGGGGCCUUCCAAGGCCUCGCCCUUUCGGUCUGGACUCCGCCCCCUCUACUCGAGCCCCGCCCCCGCCACCAGGGCCCCGCCCCCUCCACCCGUCCCCGCCCACCUCAUCCCAGGCCAGACUCACUAACAGCAAGGGAUGUGCCCUGUCCGCCCCUUGGGGGAAGGCGCAGUCCCCGAGACGGGCGGUGACCUCCGCCCCGAUUUGGGGAACCCCCAAGAGCGUCUGACCGAGGCUUAGCGGUAGAAUAAAGAAGAGAGCUCACAGACUUGAACUGACAAGCCAUCAAGAGAAAAAGCUGUAAACAUAUUGAGGUGAAGAGGAUGUUGGAAAACAAUCCCAAAUACAGGUCUGAAGACUCAUCCCAGUGAUAGUGAUGGCCUCCAAAAGCAUCCUCCACAGCAAAAUCCAACAAGCUGAAAACUUUAAUCAACAAUGAUACCAAGUAAGUACAUUUCCCCAGUUCAAUGGCUCUCCAAUCUAGUCCAUGAGACCUCCCCAGGGGAUGUGGAGAAGCUUUCAAUGGAUCUGUGUGUUCAAAACGAUUCUAAUAACAAUACUAAGACCUUAUUUGCCUUUUUCAUGGUGCUAACAUUUGUAUUGAUGAUUCUAAAGAAAUGGUGGGUAAAGCUGCUGUCACUUUCACACAAAUCAAGACAGUGGCACCAAAUAGAAGUGGCAGUCAUUGUAUUCAAGCUACCACGCCAGGCUAAUUUUUGUAUUUUUUUGUAGAGAUGAGGUUUCACCAUGUUGGUCAGACUGGUCUCUAACU